rnacentral:miRNA from 1 species
UAGUGCUGCAAUGUAAGCAUUGCAGUUUCUAUGGAUCUGCAGUGUUUAACAUUGCAGCACUA